rnacentral:miRNA from 1 species
AUAUUAAUUAUUAACAAUAAUCAUAAUAGUUAUAUUAAGGAAUUAAUUACAUGUCCCAAGCAAUAUUUGGGACAUACUUACACUAAAAAAAUUGCUUGUUGUAUAUCUGAAUUUCCAGUUUUUACUAGGUGCCUGUAUU